rnacentral:rRNA from 1 species
GAUGAACGCUGGCUACAGGCUUAACACAUGCAAGUCGAGGGGAAACGACGGGGAAGCUUGCUUCCCCGGGCGUCGACCGGCGCACGGGUGAGUAACGCGUUUCCAACCUGCCUCUGACUGAGGGAUAACCCGUCGAAAGUCGGCCUAAUACCUCAUGGCAUCGUCUGCGGGCAUCCAACGACGAUUAAAGAUUUCAUCGGUCAGAGAUGGGGAUGCGUCUGAUUAGCUUGUUGGCGGGGUAACGGCCCACCAAGGCGACGAUCAGUAGGGGUUCUGAGAGGAAGGUCCCCCACAUUGGAACUGAGACACGGUCCAAACUCCUACGGGAGGCAGCAGUGAGGAAUAUUGGUCAAUGGGCGAGAGCCUGAACCAGCCAAGUAGCGUGCAGGAUGACGGCCCUAUGGGUUGUAAACUGCUUUUAUGCGGGGAUAAAGUGAGGGACGUGUCCUUCAUUGCAGGUACCGCAUGAAUAAGGACCGGCUAAUUCCGUG